UUUCAGAACUCGCUCACGUCUGGAAUGCGUUCCGCCUGCCCGGUCGCUUGGCUGCUUUCUGGAAUCCUUGAGACUCUUCAGGAAUUCCAGCGGCCUGGUAACCGUUACGCAAGACAACAUUCCAGGGAGGCGAGGGAGAACAGGCACACACAGCCUCCGAGAUCCUACUAGACCCCUCGGCCUCUGCUGACAGCCCGACCCAGGAGGAGGAGCUCAGGCUUGGCUCGUGUCUGAAGCAGACAUCUUUGGAUGUUCUCGUGCCUUCCAAAGAGCGUAGACAGGUUGCUAUGCUUCACAGCACAGAGGUGGUCUCCUGACGUCCGGGCAAUCCCACGGAGCGGGUCGGCCCCAGUGCAGACGUGAGGUCUUGACACGGAAGACAGCACAGCAACUUCUUGAGAAAUGAGUCGUCUCCCACAGCGGAGGCUCCAGCCGGCCUCCCUGACCCCUGGGGCAGCUGUUUCCGUGGCACCCGCUGGCACUGGACACAGGGAGGGAAAGAGCCGGAUUGGACUCAGAAGGAUUCAUCAUACGCAUCGGGGAAGGGAAGAGAGAGACGUAGGGGAGAGCGAGUGCGCAGGCUGCAGAGCCUUCUUGAUUGUUCUUUCAUCACCAGCCCUGUACUGGCACGGCGCUCUCCUUCCGCGAAGAGCGGGUAGGGUCGUCCGGACGGCACUGUGGCAUCACAAAGAUUCUUGCUGCGAGUGAAGUUCAGGCUCGUGCAUCGAAGGGCUCCCGGGGCUCUGCGGUCAGAUGGCAGUGCCGUUGGCCGUCUCUGCCGUGAGCAGCUCAGCCACAGAGCAAGGCCAGCGACGGUGGUUUCGUGCUCUGCGUUCCCGGCAUCGUUAGCGUGGAGGGGGGCACGAAGUACGGCGUACCUUCUCGAGGGACCGAGAGAUACGUGGACGCGGAUUCAUCUUCAGGAGCGAGAGUCUGAAGGAGAGAAGGACCAAGCCGACCAUGGGCGUUGACGGUGCCACUCGGGCCUCCUAAGUGAAGAAACUAUGAAGGAACAGCUCAGGUUGCAUAACGGGGGCCCCCAGGCGCGUGUGACCAAGCUGCUGCUUCCGGCUUGUACCUUUCGCCUCUUUGCAAAGCCACCCGGGAGUCAGCGGAAACGUGUGUGGUGGGCAAGGGAAGGGAAGAAGUGUGCUCCGAGGACAGGAGAGCGAUCUAGCCAGUGCCCGUGCAUCUGUCAAGCCAAAUGUGGUCAUUUGGGGGAAAAUCAGCUUCUGAAGAUGAGGUUUACAGCAGGAAUGACCUUCUACAACUUUGCGUAUCGUGUCUCCCCCUCCUCCAAAAAAUUAAUAAGACCAGCAGAGUCGCUUUUU